UACGUAGGGUGCAAGCGUUGUCCGGAAUUAUUGGGCGUAAAGGGUGCGUAGGCGGUUUGGUAAGUCUUAUGUGAAAUCUACAGGCUCAACUUGUAGUCUGCAUGAGAAACUGCCGGGCUUGAGUAUGGGAGAGGUGAGUGGAAUUCCUGGUGUAGCGGUGAAAUGCGUAGAUAUCAGGAGGAACACCGGUGGCGAAGGCGGGUCUCUGGGCAGUAACUGACGCUGAGGAGCGAAAGCGUGGGGAGCGAACAGG
rnacentral:rRNA from 1 species